UACUCAGCCUUGUUUUUCCUAAGGAAGU
rnacentral:piRNA from 1 species